CCCUUAGAUGUCCUGGGCCGCACGCGCGCUACACUGAGUGUCUGAGAUACGAGUCUGCCUGGUCCGGCAAGGUCUAGGUAAUCGCUAAAAGACACAUCAUGCUUGGGAUAGAUUAUUGCAAAUAUUAAUCUUGAACGAGGAAUUCCUAGUAAGCGCAAGUCAACAGCUUGCGUUGAUUACGUCCCUGCCCUUUGUACACACCGCCCGUCGCUUCUACUGAUUGGAUGUUUAAGCGAGGUUCUCGAACUGCUAGCGACUUAGCUUCGGUGAGGUCGCAGUGUGGGAAGUGAACCGAGCUUUGGUGUCUAGAGGAAGUAAAAGUCGUAACA
rnacentral:rRNA from 1 species